UACGUAGGGUGCAAGCGUUGUCCGGAAUUAUUGGGCGUAAAGAGCUCGUAGGCGGUCUGUCGCGUCUGCUGUGAAAACUCAGGGCUUAACCCUGAGCUUGCAGUGGGUACGGGCAGACUAGAGUGCGGUAGGGGAGACUGGAAUUCCUGGUGUAGCGGUGAAAUGCGCAGAUAUCAGGAGGAACACCGGUGGCGAAGGCGGGUCUCUGGGCCGUAACUGACGCUGGAGGAGCGAAAGCAUGGGGAGCGAACAGGAUUAGACUACCUAGUAGU
rnacentral:rRNA from 1 species